rnacentral:rRNA from 1 species
CACGUAGGGCGCGAGCGUUGUCCGGAAUUAUUGGGCGUAAAGAGCUCGUAGGCGGCCUGUUGCGUCCGCUGUGAAAGCCCGGGGCUUAACCCCGGGUCGGCAGUGGAUACGGGCAGGCUAGAGGUAGGUAGGGGAGAAUGGAAUUCCCGGUGUAGCGGUGAAAUGCGCAGAUAUCGGGAAGAACACCCGUGGCGAAGGCGGUUCUCUGGGACGGUACUGACGCUGAGACGCGAAAGCGUGGGGAGCGAACAGG